rnacentral:rRNA from 1 species
UAUGUAGGGGGCAAGCGUUGUCCGGAUUUAUUGGGCGUAAAGAGCGUGUAGGCGGCCAAACAGGUCAGCUGUGAAAACUCGAGGCUCAACCUCGAGACGUCGGUUGAAACCGUUUGGCUAGAGUCCGGAAGAGGAGAGUGGAAUUCCCGGUGUAGCGGUGAAAUGCGCAGAUAUCGGGAAGAACACCCGUGGCGAAGGCGGCUCUCUGGGACGGUACUGACGCUGAGACGCGAAAAGCUAGGGGGAGCAAACAGG